rnacentral:rRNA from 1 species
CAGUAAGGAAUAUUGGUCAAUGGGCGGAAGCCUGAACCAGCCAUGCCGCGUGCAGGAAGACGGCCCUACGGGUUGUAAACUGCUUUUGCAGGGGAAUAAACCCCCGUAUGUAUACGGGGUUGAAUGUACUCUGAGAAUAAGGAUCGGCUAACUCCGUGCCAGCAGCCGCGGUAAUACGGAGGAUCCGAGCGUUAUCCGGAUUUAUUGGGUUUAAAGGGUGCGUAGGCGGCCUUGUAAGUCAGGGGUGAAAGACGGUAGCUUAACUAUCGCAGUGCCUUUGAUACUGCAGGGCUUGAAUGUACUUGAGGCAGGCGGAAUGUGACAAGUAGCGGUGAAAUGCAUAGAUAUGUCACAGAACACCAAUUGCGAAGGCAGCUUGCUAAAGUAUGAUUGACGCUGAGGCACGAAAGCGUGGGGAUCAAACAGGAUUAGA